GACGAACGCUGGCGGCGUGCUUAACACAUGCAAGUCGAACGAAGAGCGAUGGAAGCUUGCUUCUAUCAAUCUUAGUGGCGAACGGGUGAGUAACGCGUAAUCAACCUGCCCUUCAGAGGGGGACAACAGUUGGAAACGACUGCUAAUACCGCAUACGAUCUAAUCUCGGCAUCGAGGAUAGAUGAAAGGUGGCCUCUACAUGUAAGCUAUCACUGAAGGAGGGGAUUGCGUCUGAUUAGCUAGUUGGAGGGGUAACGGCCCACCAAGGCGAUGAUCAUUAGCCGGUCUGAGAGGAUGAACGGCCACAUUGGGACUGAGACACGGCCCAGACUCCUACGGGAGGCAGCAGUGGGGAAUCUUCCGCAAUGGACGAAAGUCUGACGGAGCAACGCCGCGUGAGUGAUGACGGCCUUCGGGUUGUAAAGCUCUGUUAAUCGGGACGAAAGGCCUUCUUGCGAAUAGUGAGAAGGAUUGACGGUACCGGAAUAGAAAGCCACGGCUAACUACGUG
rnacentral:rRNA from 1 species